UUGGGGCCAGCAACCGCGGUAAUUCCAGCUCCAAUAGCGUAUAUUAAAGUUGUUGCAGUUAAAAAGCUCGUAGUUGGACCUUGGGCCUGGUUGGCCGGUCCGCCUCACCGCGGGCACCGGUCCGGCCGGGCCUUUCCUUUUGGGGAACCUCAUGCCCUUCACUGGGCGGGUCGGGGAACCAGGACUUUUACUUUGAAAAAAUUAGAGUGUUCAAAGCAGGCCUAUGCUCGAAUACAUUAGCAUGGAAUAAUAGAAUAGGACGUGUGGUUUUAUUUUGUUGGUUUUUAGGGAUCCCGUAAUGAUUAAUAGGGAUAGUCGGGGGCAUCAGUAUUCCGUAUCAGAGGUGAAAUUUUUGGAUUUUCGGAAGACUAACAAUGCGAAAGCAUUUGCCAAGGAUGUUUUCAUUAAUCAGUGAACGAAAGUUAGGGGAUCGAAGACGAUCAGAUACCGUCGUAGUCUUAACCAUAAACUAUGCCGACUAGGGAUCGGGCGAUGUUAUCUUAUGACUCGCUCGGCACCUUACGAGAAAUCAAAGUC
rnacentral:rRNA from 1 species